rnacentral:rRNA from 1 species
CCUACGGGAGGCAGCAGUCGAGAAUCAUUCACAAUGGGGGAAACCCUGAUGGUGCGACGCCGCGUGGGGGAAUGAAGGUCUUCGGAUUUUAAACCCCUGUCAUGUGGGAGCAAAUUAAAAAGAUAGUACCACAAGAGGAAGAUACGGCUAACUCUGUGCCAGCAGCCGCGGUAAUACAGAGGUCUCAAGCGUUGUUCGGAAUCACUGGGCGUAAAGCGUGCGUAGGCUGUUUCGUAAGUCGUGUGUGAAAGGCGCGGGCUCAACCCGCGGACGGCACAUGAUACUGCGAGACUAGAGUAAUGGAGGGGGAACCGGAAUUCUCGGUGUAGCAGUGAAAUGCGUAGAUAUCGAGAGGAACACUCGUGGCGAAGGCGAGUUCCUGGACAUUAACUGACGCUGAGGCACGAAGGCCAGGGGAGCGAAAGGGAUUAGAUACCCCAGUAGUC